CAGCCGCCACGGUAACACGUAGGUGGCAAGCGUUGUCCGGAAUUAUUGGGCGUAAAGGGCUCGCAGGCGGUUUCUUAAGUCUGAUGUGAAAGCCCCCGGCUCAACCGGGGAGGGUCAUUGGAAACUGGGAAACUUGAGUGCAGAAGAGGAGAGUGGAAUUCCACGUGUAGCGGUGAAAUGCGUAGAGAUGUGGAGGAACACCAGUGGCGAAGGCGACUCUCUGGUCUGUAACUGACGCUGAGGAGCGAAAGCGUGGGGAGCGAACAGGAUUAGAUACCCGCGUAGUCCCUGUCUCUUAUAC
rnacentral:rRNA from 1 species